rnacentral:tRNA from 1 species
GGGGAUGUAGCUCAGUGGUAGAGUGUUUGCCUAGCAUGUGAGAGGCCCUGAAUUCAAUUCCCAUAUCCCCU